UGCCAGCAGCCGCGGUAAGACGAAGGUGGCAAGCGUUGUUCGGAAUCACUGGGCAUAAAGCGCGCGCAGGCGGUCUAUUAAGUUGGAUGUGAAAGCCCCCGGCCCAACCGGGGAACGGCGCCCAAAACUGAUGGACUUGAGGCUCGGAGAGGUACAUGGAAUUCCUGGUGGAGCGGUGAAAUGCGUUGAUAUCAGGAGGAACACCGGAGGCGAAGGCGAUGUACUGGCCGAGUUCUGACGCUGAGGUGCGAAAGCUAGGGGAGCGAACGGGAUUAGAUA
rnacentral:rRNA from 1 species